UACGUAGGGUGCAAGCGUUGUCCGAAAUCAUUGGGCGUAAAGCGCGCGUAGGUGGUCAUGUAAGUCCGCUGUGAAAGUCAAAGGCUCAACCUUUGAAAGCCGGUGGAUACUGCAUGACUAGAGUACGGAAGAGGCGAGUGGAAUUCCUGGUGGAGCGGUGAAAUGCGUAGAGAUCGGAAAGAACACCAACGGCGGAAAGCAACUCUGCUGGGCCGACACUGACACUGAGAGACGAAAGCUAGGGGAGCGAAUGGG
rnacentral:rRNA from 1 species